rnacentral:misc_RNA from 1 species
AACACCCACAUUGUUUCAGUUUUGAUCAGCAUUAGGGCAAUCUCUUGCAAAAUGCCCUUCCUCACCGCAAUUAUAACAUGCCCCACGGCCUCCACCGGAGUAUCCACCGCCGCCGCUCCCUCCACCGUAUCUGCUACUCCUUCCACCACCCCAGCCGCUUUGAUAACAAUCUCUCGCUAAAUGACCAAUAACACGCACCGCCGCUGCCACCACCGGUAUUAUAUCCAGAGCCACCGCCUGACCGGCCACCCCUCCCACCUCUCCCAUAACCACCAUCGCCUCGACCACUAUUAUAUCCUCCCCCACCACCACCUCUCCCUCUCCCGCCAUAGAAUCCUCUUCCGCCUCCCCCACCGCGGCCGCCACGAGGGGCACGGCGAGAUCUGGAGACACCAACGACGUCGACCGCCUUGGUACGGCCAUCCUCUCCGAAAUCGAUGGAGAACUCAACGGGUUGGCCCUCGGACAGUGUCCUAAAGCCAUCGGAUUGGAUGGAGGUCUGGUGAACAAAUAGAUCCUCGCCUCCGUCAUCGGGAGCAAUGAAGCCGAAACCUUUCUGCGCACUAAACCACUUGACGGAGCCAGUGGAUCUCUUACCUUCCGCCAUGGAAUCUUCUAGAAGAAUCUAGAAGUUUAUGCAAGCUCGUCGGCUUGUUAGUGAG